rnacentral:rRNA from 1 species
UAUUGGACAAUGGGGGGAACCCUGAUCCAGCGACGCCGCGUGCGUGAAGAAGUAUUUCGGUAUGUAAAGCUCUCUCAGCAUGGAAGAAGAAAAUGACGGUACCUGACUAAGAAGCCCCGGCUAACUACGUUCCAGCAGCCGCGGUAAUACGUAGGGGGCAAGCGUUAUCCGGAUUUACUGGGUGUAAAGGGAGCGUAGACGGUAGUGCAAGUCUGGAGUGAAAGGCGGGGGCUCAACCCCCGGAGUGCUCUGGAAACUGGGCGACUGGAGUGCAGGAGAGGUAAGUGGAAUUCCUAGUGUAGCGGUGAAAUGCGUAGAUAUUAGGAGGAACACCAGUGGCGAAGACGGCUUACUGGACUGUUACUGACGUUGAGGCUCGAAAGCGUGGGGAGCAAACAGG